UGGCGGACGGGUGAGUAAUGUCUGGGAAACUGCCCGAUGGAGGGGGAUAACUACUGGAAACGGUAGCUAAUACCGCAUAACGUCGCAAGACCAAAGAGGGGGACCUUAGGGCCUCUUGCCAUCGGAUGUGCCCAGAUGGGAUUAGCUAGUAGGUGGGGUAACGGCUCACCUAGGCGACGAUCCCUAGCUGGUCUGAGAGGAUGACCAGCCACGCUGGAACUGAGACACGGUCCAG
rnacentral:rRNA from 1 species